AGAGCAAAGGGAAGAGUGAAGAAGAAGAGGAGGAAGAGGAAUGGCAAAGGGAAGAGAGAGAAGAGGGAGAAGGAAGAAGAGGAGGAGAUUAUGCACGACACUUGUUAAAAUUGCAACACUGAGACGGUAUUAGCAGCCCAGUUCUUCAUUUGAGAAGACCAAAGCACAGAGGGGCUAAGUGAUUUGCCCGGGCCCACACAGCUGGGUUGUUGCUGAGCCAGCAUUUGAAACCAGGCUACAUCCUUGAAUCUCAGCUUGGACUUGGUAUCAUUCAGAGUCCUACCAAGAGAAUCAAAACCACUUCAGGGCCCAGAUGGAAGCCAGCUGACAUGCAAGCCUGGGAACUGCAGCCUGCAGAGAUCAACAACCCCACGGAGUCACAGAGCAGAGCAGGUGAAGGAAGAAGAAUGGGUUUGAGGCAAACAGGGCCAGGAUCGGCAGGCCUUGUCCUCCAGGAAGCCUUUCCCACCCCACCUCAGGCUGGAAUAGGGGCCUUCGUAGGCUGAAUGAUGGCCUCCCAAAAAUGUUCACUUCUUAAUCCCUCAACCCUCUGAAUAUUACCUUAUAUGACAAAAGAUGUGACUAAGACGUGUUAAGGAUCUUGAAAAGAGAGACUGAAGCUGGGUUUUCUGGAUGGGCUUCAUAGACAGACACACAGAAGAAAAGGCAAUGUGAAGACAAGACAGAGGCCGGAUGGAGGUGAUGCCACCACAAGCCAAGGAAUGCUGGCAGCUGCUAGAAGCUGGAGGAGACGGGGAACAAAUUCUCUGCUAGAGCCUCCAGAGGAAAGACAGCCCUGUUCACAUCUUGAUUUCAGAAGUCUGGCCUCCAGAACUGCGAAAGAAUACGUGACUGUUAUCUUAAGCUACAAGUCUGUGUAUUGUGCUCCUCCAUCGUAUUCCCAAAACAGCAUCCCUGGCUUCUGUCCCGUGCCCAUUGUCCUUUCAUGCUGAAGCAGCUUAUUGCAUUGUCUUAUCUGUCCUACCAGGCUGACCUCCUUGAGGGCAGAAUUAGAUCUUGGAGAGAGAGCGCCCUAGUUCUCAACAUUGUGACGGGUAUAUAAUGGAUGACAAAUAAAUAUUAACUUGACUUUAGGUUUUAA